ensembl:lncRNA
AUCUUUUUGUCCUUCCUGAGACAUCGGGUGCUGUAGGUGUCCUGGAGGGCAGGUAGUUUGCCCCCGGUAAUGUCAGUGAGUCUUUGGACUUGGAGAGGCUGCAGGGCCAGAGAGUGCCACACUUAGCCAGGCGUGUGAGCACCAUAGACUGCAACGUGCUCAACACCAGGAUGACCAAACAGAAACAGAAGUGCUUUCCUAUGGAGAACAACAAGAGAGAUGUGAUACUCACGGAUGAUGGGGCUGCACUGGCCUCCUCCAGGCAGAAGGUCCUUGAGGAUGUUGAGGAACAUGAUGAAGCUGAGAACCAGUUUAACCUUGAAGGGGAUGCGCUUACUCUCUCCCAGCGGCAGGGCGAAGCUGCCUACAUCAGCCAAGAUGAUUAGUAUACUGGGCAGGACCAGGGAUAGAAACGGGUUUUCGGACCGCAUUUUCAGCAAUACCUGUGAAGACAGACAGAUAAGCCGGCUAAGGAGUAUUGGUGUCUCUGGGGGUCUUUGGCCUGGUUUGCUAACUACCUCAGAAUGCAGUGUUUAAAGUCAGAAAAUAUGCUGUCUCAGCUACUGCCUGUCACCAAGGGAGUACCCCAAGUCUCAAUCCUAGGCCCCACACUCUUCUCAAUUUGCAUCAACAUAGCUCAGGCAGUAGGAAGCUCUCUCAUCCAUUUAUAUGUAGAUGAUAGUCUUAUAGUCAGCUGGCCCCUCCCAGGAGUUUGUGUUAAAUGCUCUACAACAAAGCUUUCUUAGUGUCCAGCAAGCUUUCUCUACCCUUAACCUUGUUCUGAACACCUCCAAAACAAAGGUCAUGUUGUUCUGUAAGAAGAAUGCCCCUCUCCCCACAGGUGUGUUUACUACCUCUGAGGGGUUAGAGCUUGAAGUAGUCACCUCAUACAAGCAUUUGGGAGUAUGGCUAGACGGUACACUGUCCUUCUCUCAGCACAUAUCAAAGCUGCAGGCUAAAGUUAAAUCUAGACUUGGUUUCUUCUAUCGUAAUCACUCCUCUUUCACCCCAGCUGCCAAACUAACCCUGAUUCAGAUGACCAUCCUACCCAUGCUAGAUUACGGAGACAUAAUUUAUAGAUCGGUAGGUAAGGGUUCUCUCGAGUGGCUAGAUGUUCUUUAUCAGUCGGCUCCUUAUAGGACACAUCACUGCACUCUAUACUCCUCUGUAAACUGGGCGUCUCUGUAUACCCGUCGCAAGACCCACUGGUUGAUGCUUAUUUAUAAAACCCUCUUAGGUCUCACACCCCCCUAUCUGAGAUAUCUACUGCAGCCCUCAUCCUCCACAUACAACACCUGUUCUGCCAGUCACAUUCUGUUAAAGGUCCCCAAAGCACACACAUCCCUGGGUCGCUCGUCUUUUCAGUUCCCUGCAGGUAGUGACCGGAACGAGCUGCAACAAUCACUCAAACUGGACAGUUUUAUCUCAAUCUCUUCAUUCAAAGACUCAAUCAUGGACACUCUUACUGACAGUUGUGGCUGCUUUGCAUGAUGUAUUGUUGUCUGUACCUUCUUGCCCUUUGUGCUGUUGUCUGUGCCCAAUAAUGUUUGUACCAUGUUUUGUGCUGCUACCAUGCUGUGUUGUCAUGCGUUGCUACCAUGUUGUUGUCAUGUUGUGUUGC